UCCCUGGAGGACUCGUGGUUAAGCCACGGCGCUCUCACCGCUGCUUCCCGGGUUCAAUUCCCGGCCAGGAAC
rnacentral:tRNA from 1 species